AGAGAGAGGAAAAAGGCAUUGUUGGAAGUGGUUCUCAUUGGUGGAAGUGGUUCUCAUUGGUGGAAGUGGUUCUCAUUGGUGGAAGUGGUUCUCAUUGGUGGAAGUGGUUCUCAUUGGUGGAAGUGGUUCUCAUUGGUGGAAGUGGUUCUCAUUGGUGGAAGUGGUUCUCAUUGGUGGAAGUGGUUCUCAUUGUUGGAAGUGGUUCUCAUUGGUGGAAGUGGUUCUCAUUGGUGGAAGUGGUUCUCAUUGGUGGAAGUGGUUCUCAUUGUUGGAAGUGGUUCUCAUUGGUGGAAGUGGUUCUCAUUGGUGGAAGUGGUUCUCAUUGGUGGAAGUGGUUCUCAUUGGUGGAAGUGGUUCUCAUUGGUGGAAGUGGUUCUCAUUGGUGGAAGUGGUUCUCAUUGGUGGAAGUGGUUCUCAUUGGUGGAAGUGGUUCUCAUUGGUGGAAGUGGUUCUCUCUCUGCAUGCAAAUAGCAUCCUGCUUUCUUUUCACCUUCUCUUAUGUUACUUUCUCUCCUUCUUCCUCCCUCUCUUUCUCUCUCUGUGAGUCACCCCCUGCCCUACACCACUUCAUUAAUACACAUCUGUACCCCAGCUCUCUCCACCACUGUAUGCCAUACUCCCUGAGCUAGCAGUGAGGAGUCGGGAAGAGGGAGAGGAGAAAGGGGGUGGUGAUGGUGGGUGCACGACAGCCGCACGUGGUUGGCAGGAGGAGAAUGCACCGGUAAUUAGCCAGCACCAGUACAGACAAAAACCCAAGUAGAAGAAGAAACUAAAAAAAUCUGCGCUAUGAAAACCAGGCUCCUGCCAGGCUAUGUUCCCUAGAGGGCAGACCUGGACAUGAUGGUGUGGUGCAGUGUGCUGUGUUGUGCAGGCCGGGAACAAAGGAAGGAGAGGAGUGCUAGAGGAGUGUUAUCCGAUGAGGAGUGGGCCUGUCAUGCCAAAUUGUGUCCCCCUGCCAAAAAGUGUCCACCCUUGCGUCACAAUGGGAUUUGAUGAGUUUUAGCUUGUGUUGGUAGGGCUGUUGCUAGAAUUUACAAAAUUCUGACCAGAUUACGAAAUGAACUAAAGCAUCCGUUGCUAUGCUGGUUGCUUGGCUCUAUUUUAACUUGUAGCGGUUGCGAAGGAAGGAGGAUGUGGACAGUUCUAGUUCUAUUUCACCGAAUAAACACUCGCUCAGUCUGCCUCAGAAUUGCUCUCCAAGGACAGUGCUUUUGACAAUGCCAACCUUCUGACUACCUGGUGCUUCAGAGGACCGAAAAGACUGGAAAGAGAACACUCUUUCUUUACCAUAUAGUUGUUUUUAUAUAAGUAAAUGUUGUUAAAUAUGAAGAAAUCAUUUAAGCUGAUUUUAGAUUGACAUAGCUAGCUAACCUACUGUACUUAUUUACCUCAGCCUGCCUAGUCAGCUUGCCAGCUACAGUUUUAUUUAGCUAGCUAACUAGCUAGCUACUGUAACUGUUAUUGUAGCUUUCUGUUUGUAUGUAACUUGCACUUCAAUGGCAUCCCUCGAGGAGAUUUUUUUAAAUCUUUCCAUCCAGGUGAAGCACUAUGAAGGCACCACUUAUCUCGACAAGAGGCGCAACAUUCAGAGAAAUUCACAAUUCAGGGUCAGUACCCUGUCUAGCCUGCCAGAAGUUUGAGAGGGUGAAGACUGCCGCUGGAGUUGAGGCUCAUCAAAGUUGUUUCACCAUGGCACAUGAUCGGCGUGGACUUCAUCGGACCCUUCGUGAAAUCCAGGAAUGGCAACAGCUGGUGUCUGACGGCGACCAAUCACUUCACCAAGUGGGUGGAGGCAAUACCCAUUAAGGACGAGACUGGCGAGGCCACCUCCAAGGUGAUGGUGGACAUCUUCAACACCCACGGUUCUCCUGAGGUCAUCUUGAGUGACCGAGGUCAUGAACGCUGGAACAAGGUCUGGUGAAUGUACCAACCAGACCCUCAAGACUGCCAUGGGCAAGUCCCUUCAUUGGUACCAGGAAGGGUGGGAGAACAACCUGAAGGUCAUUUUCUUUGCACCCAACAGCAGCAUCCAGGUCUCCACAUAAUCACUGAAACCCCACCUGAUGUGGUGGAAGUCGUCAAACCAGAUCAGAAUUCCUUUGAGGACCACCUUCAGGCACGACUGAGAAGGAUGUGGAGGUUUUUGACCAGAUGAGACUGAACAUCGACAAGGCCCAGGAAAACUGAAGGAAAGCUACCGGAGCAGAAUCAAGAAGGGGACCAAGUGCUACGAGAUCCUGGCGAAUGACUUGGUUUGGAAGAAGGACAAAAGGAAGGGUUACCUCGGUGGAAGCCAACAAUCUUCUACAGUUGGAGCAGUUGGACGGUCGACACCCCUCACUUCAGUGAAGCCCAAUAGACAAAGACCAUCGGCUGACCGAGCCCAAGAGGUAUCGCUUGAGGAGGUAGGGAUUCUGCUCAACACUCAGACGUGGAUCCACAUGAUGUCCUUCACUACCAACCACCCUCCAACUUUUCAUUACAUCAUCUACAGCUACUGUUGUUGUCAUUAUCUGCUAAUGAAGUUUUUUUAUUAUACUGGGCACAUAAUAUGUGAGAUCCACAGAUUAACCAAAAACACUAGCACUGCAAACACUCAGAACAAAGAGAGCAGCAGUGCCUGGACUUCGCAGUCUCCCUCUUCAAGUCCCCCUUCCGAGACUGGCUGCUGAGAACAAGUGACAGGCAGAACCUCCCACCCACACAGCAACCAGCUUCUCUAUAUUCCACACAUCAGAAAUCAGUAAUUUAAUCUAUGAUUGCCAUGUGAGUGUACAAAAAAAUCGGUGAAAAUAAAUUAAUGACAAACUGUACCAAAAAUGAUCAAAGUUUAUAUAUUACAAUCUUAAAUAUUGCCAGGUUGGUUUGCACAGUGGUUUCACAAGGUGUUCAUUAUUGUAAGUGUAAGGUAUCCUUGGAUGGUAUUUAUUUGUUCCACAUUAUUCAUUGCUGUAUGCUAGGACCUACAAUAGAUACAUAUAUAUUCAACCACAAGGGUGUACUAAUGAGCUAUGCGAGAUAUACUUAAAAAAAAUCAUAGUAGAGGACUACUGAAAUUAUAUUAUAUCAGUGUA